rnacentral:rRNA from 1 species
GACGAACCGUCCUAACGUUAUUCGGAAUCACGUGGCUUAAAGGGCGCGUAGGCGGACGAGCAAGUCCGGAGUGAAAUCCUUCGGCUUAACCGGAGAAGUGCUUUGGAUACUGCUCGUCUUGAGGGAGGUAGGGGCAUGUGGAACUUCUGGUGGAGCGGUGAAAUGCGUUGAUAUCGGGAGGAACACCAGUGGCGAAGGCGACUACCUGGCCCAUUCUUGACGCUGAGGCGCGAAAGCUAGGGGAGCGAACGGGG